CCUGGCAGUGAUGACACACUUGCCCUCACUGAGAGCAUGACUCGAUAAUGACAUCUUUAUGUACUCUACUGAGUCAGG
rnacentral:snoRNA from 1 species